UUCCAGAUGUCAUGCUACCCACUAGCUUAGCUCCUCUAUAUAAAGAGCUCAACCAUCAUGCCAUGUCUUCACCACAACACAGCAAAACACUGUUUCCAAUCUACUCAACACUUCCUCUCUACUCAUUAUUCUUUAGGGUUUUUUUUUCUUCCCAUCAAUUAUGCCCUAAUUAGGGUUCUCUCUCCUUCAAAAUUACCAAAAAAAAUAUAUGGUAAGAGGGAGGUGACAGAAGAGAGUGAGCACACAUGGUGCUUUUCUUGCAUGAAAUAUGUGCUUGAAGCUAUGCGUGCUCACCCUCUAUCUGUCACCCCCACUAUCCCCUUCUCUCCCUUUCUCCUUCUCACUUUCUUUUUUUGCUUUUGUUAUAUAUGUGCAUGAAAAUUUCUACUAUGCUUUUAGUAUGAUCUUAUUAUAUACUGUAUGAUCUUCAUGAUUUUGUUUCAUUUUUUGUUGCAAAUUUCUCCCAAAAAGCAGGAGAAAAAAAAAUCUGUUGGAUUGUUUCAACGAUUAGGGUAUAAUUAUGUAUAUAAUCAGAUUUAUAUUUGUAUUUUGUGUUAUUAUGGUUUUGUUUUUUUUUUUGUACAGGUUUUCAAACCCAGGUGAGAUUAGCUUGUGAAUGUUGGUUUUGUGGUUGAUCUGAUGAUUAAAGAGCAAAGAAGGAUGGAUCAGGUGAUAAUUAAUGAAGCAUGCUAAAGAGAAGGAAACUAAGCACGAGAAUUGUGAUGGACCAGCAACCACUUGUACAGUUGUAUGUGUGCCGUGAGCCUAUCUGUUUUCUGCGUGAGGUUUAAUUUGUUUUUCCCAGAAAGUGUGUAAUCUUUUAGGUGGGACUGGGUUAAUGCUUUAGCUUAUGUUAUUAGUGAGAGAUUAAUUGCUUCUUUGGUAGGGUUGUGAUAUUUUUAUAUUAUUUAUCGGGAGCGAUAAAGUACAGUGGUGUAAACGGGAUUUGAUACCAGAUCUCGUGUAUCACUGUUUGACGUUUUACAAUCAACAAGAUUUGGGUUGUUCCUAUACAUGUUUUUAUUUUUUAGAAUAUUAGGAAUAAAGAUGAUUUGAUUUUCUUACCAAUAAAAUUUUCCUUAUUGUUUUGGAAUUUAA